rnacentral:rRNA from 1 species
UACGUAGGGUGCGAGCGUUAAUCGGAAUUACUGGGCGUAAAGCGUGCGUAGGCGGCGCGGUAAGUCGGGUGUGAAAUCUCGGAGCUUAACUCCGAAACUGCAUUCGAUACUGCCGUGCUUGAGGACUGGAGAGGAGACUGGAAUUUACGGUGUAGCGGUGAAAUGCGUAGAUAUCGUAAGGAAGACCAGUGGCGAAGGCGGGUCUCUGGACAGUUCCUGACGCUGAGGCACGAAGGCCAGGGGAGCAAACGGG